rnacentral:rRNA from 1 species
GUUUGGUUAAGUUAGAAAGGGCGCACGGUGGAUGCCUUGACACUAGGAGUCGAUGAAGGACGGGACUAACGCCGAUAUGCUUCGGGGAGCUGUAAGUAAGCUUUGAUCCGAAGAUUUCCGAAUGGGGAAACCCACUAUACGUAAUGGUAUGGUAUCCUUACCUGAAUACAUAGGGUAUGGAAGACAGACCCAGGGAACUGAAACAUCUAAGUACCUGGAGGAAGAGAAAGCAAAUGCGAUUUCCUGAGUAGCGGCGAGCGAAACGGAACAUAGCCCAAACCAAGAGGCUUGCCUCUUGGGGUUGUAGGACAUUCUAUACGGAGUUACAAAGGAACGAGGUAGACGAAGCGACCUGGAAAGGUCCGUCGUAGAGGGUAACAACCCCGUAGUCGAAACUUCGUUCUCUCUUGAAUGUAUCCUGAGUACGGCGGAACACGUGAAAUUCCGUCGGAAUCUGGGAGGACCAUCUCCCAAGGCUAAAUACUCCCUAGUGAUCGAUAGUGAACCAGUACCGUGAGGGAAAGGUGAAAAGCACCCCGGAAGGGGAGUGAAAGAGAUCCUGAAACCGUGUGCCUACAAAUAGUCAGAGCCCGUUAAUGGGUGAUGGCGUGCCUUUUGUAGAAUGAACCGGCGAGUUACGAUCCCGUGCAAGGUUAAGCUGAAGAGGCGGAGCCGCAGCGAAAGCGAGUCUGAAUAGGGCGUUUAGUACGUGGUCGUAGACCCGAAACCAGGUGAUCUACCCAUGUCCAGGGUGAAGUUCAGGUAACACUGAAUGGAGGCCCGAACCCACGCACGUUGAAAAGUGCGGGGAUGAGGUGUGGGUAGCGGAGAAAUUCCAAUCGAACCUGGAGAUAGCUGGUUCUCCCGAAAUAGCUUUAGGGCUAGCCUUAAGUGUAAGAGUCUUGGAGGUAGAGCACUGAUUGAACUAGGGGUCCUCAUCGGAUUACCGAAUUCAGUCAAACUCCGAAUGCCAAUGACUUAUCCUUAGGAGUCAGACUGCGAGUGAUAAGAUCCGUAGUCAAGAGGGAAACAGCCCAGAUCGCCAGCUAAGGUCCCAAAGUGUGUAUUAAGUGGAAAAGGAUGUGGAGUUGCUUAGACAACUAGGAUGUUGGCUUAGAAGCAGCCACCAUUUAAAGAGUGCGUAAUAGCUCACUAGUCGAGUGACUCUGCGCCGAAAAUGUACCGGGGCUAAAUACACCACCGAAGCUGCGAAUUGAUACCAAUGGUAUCAGUGGUAGGGGAGCGUUCUAAGUGCAGUGAAGUCAGACCGGAAGGACUGGUGGAGCGCUUAGAAGUGAGAAUGCCGGUAUGAGUAGCGAAAGACGGGUGAGAAUCCCGUCCACCGAAUGCCUAAGGUUUCCUGAGGAAGGCUCGUCCGCUCAGGGUUAGUCAGGACCUAGCCGAGGCCGACAGGCGUAGGCGAUGGACAACAGGUUGAUAUUCCUGUACCACCU